GGGAAGUUGAAUUUUCCAUUUUGGGGAGAGGGUUUUUUUGGUGGGGAGGAGGGAGCAAAGAUGGAGUGCCUACUUUAUUAUUAUUUUUAUCCCUCAGGUUUGCAGGUGGUGGAGAGAAUACCAAGACCUAGGCUCUCCUGAUCUCCCUGCAUCCCUGUCAUUUUUGGCAAUGUCGCUAAUCGGCCCAGCAGCCCGAAUCCACACGCCCCGGCGUCCAGGCUCUGCAAGGUGCAGCUGGUCUCAGGCCCUGUCUCAGAAUACGGAAGUAAUCAGAAUUUAUUCACGUGGGCCGACUGAGAGUUUUGACGUCAAAGGGCAAUCCUGUCUGAUUGAUACCACUCAAAUGGCAAUAUUGUUUGAAGAAAUGUAGUUAGAGAGAUGGCAAUUUAAAGGCUAUAAGAAGUUACAGGAAAAGUGAGUGUAACAUUCCAUACCGAUUUCUGAUGU
rnacentral:lncRNA from 1 species